GGGUUGUGAGGUUAAGCGACUAAGCGUACACGGUGGAUGCCCUGGCAGUCAGAGGCGAUGAAGGACGUGCUAAUCUGCGAUAAGCGUCGGUAAGGUGAUAUGAACCGUUAUAACCGGCGAUUUCCGAAUGGGGAAACCCAGUGUGUUUCGACACACUAUCAUUAACUGAAUCCAUAGGUUAAUGAGGCGAACCGGGGGAACUGAAACAUCUAAGUACCCCGAGGAAAAGAAAUCAACCGAGAUUCCCCCAGUAGCGGCGAGCGAACGGGGAGGAGCCCAGAGCCUGAAUCAGUGUGUGUGUUAGUGGAAGCGUCUGGAAAGGCGCGCGAUACAGGGUGACAGCCCCGUACACAAAAAUGCACAUGCUGUGAGCUCGAUGAGUAGGGCGGGACACGUGGUAUCCUGUCUGAAUAUGGGGGGACCAUCCUCCAAGGCUAAAUACUCCUGACUGACCGAUAGUGAACCAGUACCGUGAGGGAAAGGCGAAAAGAACCCCGGCGAGGGGAGUGAAAAAGAACCUGAAACCGUGUACGUACAAGCAGUGGGAGCCCUGAUUUAUCAGGGUGACUGCGUACCUUUUGUAUAAUGGGUCAGCGACUUAUAUUCUGUAGCAAGGUUAACCGAAUAGGGGAGCCGAAGGGAAACCGAGUCUUAACUGGGCGUUAAGUUGCAGGGUAUAGACCCGAAACCCGGUGAUCUAGCCAUGGGCAGGUUGAAGGUUGGGUAACACUAACUGGAGGACCGAACCGACUAAUGUUGAAAAAUUAGCGGAUGACUUGUGGCUGGGGGUGAAAGGCCAAUCAAACCGGGAGAUAGCUGGUUCUCCCCGAAAGCUAUUUAGGUAGCGCCUCGUGAAUUCAUCUCCGGGGGUAGAGCACUGUUUCGGCAAGGGGGUCAUCCCGACUUACCAACCCGAUGCAAACUGCGAAUACCGGAGAAUGUUAUCACGGGAGACACACGGCGGGUGCUAACGUCCGUCGUGAAGAGGGAAACAACCCAGACCGCCAGCUAAGGUCCCAAAGUCAUGGUUAAGUGGGAAACGAUGUGGGAAGGCCCAGACAGCCAGGAUGUUGGCUUAGAAGCAGCCAUCAUUUAAAGAAAGCGUAAUAGCUCACUGGUCGAGUCGGCCUGCGCGGAAGAUGUAACGGGGCUAAACCAUGCACCGAAGCUGCGGCAGCGACGCUGAUGCGUUGUUGGGUAGGGGAGCGUUCUGUAAGCCUGCGAAGGUGUGCUGUGAGGCAUGCUGGAGGUAUCAGAAGUGCGAAUGCUGACAUAAGUAACGAUAAAGCGGGUGAAAAGCCCGCUCGCCGGAAGACCAAGGGUUCCUGUCCAACGUUAAUCGGGGCAGGGUGAGUCGACCCCUAAGGCGAGGCCGAAAGGCGUAGUCGAUGGGAAACAGGUUAAUAUUCCUGUACUUGGUGUUACUGCGAAGGGGGGACGGAGAAGGCUAUGUUGGCCGGGCGACGGUUGUCCCGGUUUAAGCGUGUAGGCUGGUUUUCCAGGCAAAUCCGGAAAAUCAAGGCUGAGGCGUGAUGACGAGGCACUACGGUGCUGAAGCAACAAAUGCCCUGCUUCCAGGAAAAGCCUCUAAGCAUCAGGUAACAUCAAAUCGUACCCCAAACCGACACAGGUGGUCAGGUAGAGAAUACCAAGGCGCUUGAGAGAACUCGGGUGAAGGAACUAGGCAAAAUGGUGCCGUAACUUCGGGAGAAGGCACGCUGAUAUGUAGGUGAAGUCCCUCGCGGAUGGAGCUGAAAUCAGUCGAAGAUACCAGCUGGCUGCAACUGUUUAUUAAAAACACAGCACUGUGCAAACACGAAAGUGGACGUAUACGGUGUGACGCCUGCCCGGUGCCGGAAGGUUAAUUGAUGGGGUCAGCGCAAGCGAAGCUCUUGAUCGAAGCCCCGGUAAACGGCGGCCGUAACUAUAACGGUCCUAAGGUAGCGAAAUUCCUUGUCGGGUAAGUUCCGACCUGCACGAAUGGCGUAAUGAUGGCCAGGCUGUCUCCACCCGAGACUCAGUGAAAUUGAACUCGCUGUGAAGAUGCAGUGUACCCGCGGCAAGACGGAAAGACCCCGUGAACCUUUACUAUAGCUUGACACUGAACAUUGAGCCUUGAUGUGUAGGAUAGGUGGGAGGCUUUGAAGUGUGGACGCCAGUCUGCAUGGAGCCGACCUUGAAAUACCACCCUUUAAUGUUUGAUGUUCUAACGUGGACCCGUGAUCCGGGUUGCGGACAGUGUCUGGUGGGUAGUUUGACUGGGGCGGUCUCCUCCUAAAGAGUAACGGAGGAGCACGAAGGUUGGCUAAUCCUGGUCGGACAUCAGGAGGUUAGUGCAAUGGCAUAAGCCAGCUUGACUGCGAGCGUGACGGCGCGAGCAGGUGCGAAAGCAGGUCAUAGUGAUCCGGUGGUUCUGAAUGGAAGGGCCAUCGCUCAACGGAUAAAAGGUACUCCGGGGAUAACAGGCUGAUACCGCCCAAGAGUUCAUAUCGACGGCGGUGUUUGGCACCUCGAUGUCGGCUCAUCACAUCCUGGGGCUGAAGUAGGUCCCAAGGGUAUGGCUGUUCGCCAUUUAAAGUGGUACGCGAGCUGGGUUUAGAACGUCGUGAGACAGUUCGGUCCCUAUCUGCCGUGGGCGCUGGAGAACUGAGGGGGGCUGCUCCUAGUACGAGAGGACCGGAGUGGACGCAUCACUGGUGUUCGGGUUGUCAUGCCAAUGGCACUGCCCGGUAGCUAAAUGCGGAAGAGAUAAGUGCUGAAAGCAUCUAAGCACGAAACUUGCCCCGAGAUGAGUUCUCUCUCACUCCUUCAGAGUCCUGAAGGAACGUUGAAGACGACGACCUUGAUAGGCCGGGUGUGUAAGCGCAGCGAUGCGUUGAGCUAACCGGUACUAAUGAAUCGUGAGGCUUAACCUUACAACGCCGAAGCUGUU
rnacentral:rRNA from 1 species